rnacentral:lncRNA from 1 species
GACGGAAGGUGGUGGGUGCAGUACUCAUGAAUGGAUACAUUCUACAAGUUGGGCUUUUUCUUUCUCUUUUAAUAUGCUUUUGUGAAGGAAGAGAAGGCCCCUGAACCAUCCAUGGACGGCAGUUAUCAAGUCUACAGAAACAUCAAAUGAAAGUUAUCUUACCAAGUGUUAUCAUCUCUACUCAAAACUGUCAGCUACUUGACUGCCCCUCAUGGCCACUUUUCAAGUCUUGAUUGCCAAGCAUUUAUUUUCUUUUUCCAGUUUGUCUGGAAGACAGAAUGCCUCAGGAAGGGAUUGUUGGGUUUUUCAUAUAAAGCACGUGAAAUAUCUGUAAUUAUGGAUUACAUUUUUGUACCCAAUAUAUGGCUGAAAGGAGUCCUGUGAUAGAAACUUUUAGAAGAUAAUUGAAUGUGUCAGCUGCAUCAAGAAAUUAUGUACUUGCUUCACUUCAACAAACUGUGAUAAAUAGUCUAUUGUCUGGAGAGAGGAAUGAGGAAACUUUGAUAUAAGAGGUCUGGAACAUGGGAAC